GGUAAUGCCGGAUGCUCCGACUCCUCGCAUGGGGUGUCGGGAAAGAUUUCAUCGGUAUGGGAUGGGGUCGCGUCCUAUCAGGUAGUCGGCGGGGUAACGGCCCACCGAGCCUACGACGGGUAGCCGGCCUGAGAGGGCGACCGGCCACAUUGGGACUGAGAUACGGCCCAGACUCCUACGGGAGGCAGCAGUGGGGAAUAUUGCACAAUGGGCGCAAGCCUGAUGCAGCGACGCCGCGUGCGGGAUGACGGCCUUCGGGUUGUAAACCGCUUUUGAUCGGGAGCAAGCCUUCGGGUGAGUGUACCUUUCGAAUAAGCACCGGCUAACUACGUGCCAGCAGCCGCGGUAAUACGUAGGGUGCAAGCGUUAUCCGGAAUUAUUGGGCGUAAAGGGCUCGUAGGCGGUUCGUCGCGUCCGGUGUGAAAGUCCAUCGCUUAACGGUGGAUCUGCGCCGGGUACGGGCGGGCUGGAGUGCGGUAGGGGAGACUGGAAUUCCCGGUGUAACGGUGGAAUGUGUAGAUAUCGGGAAAGAACA
rnacentral:rRNA from 1 species